rnacentral:rRNA from 1 species
AAUGAACGCUGGCGGCAGGCCUUACACAUGCAAGUCGAACGGCAGCACGGGGCAACCUGGUGGCGAGUGGCGAACGGGUGAGUAAUGUAUCGGAACGUACCAUUGAGUGGGGGAUAACGUAGCGAAAGUUACGCUAAUACCGCAUAUACCCCGAGGGGGAAAGCAGGGGAUCUUAGGACCUUGUGCUCUUUGAGCGGCCGAUAUCAGAUUAGCUAGUUGGUGAGGUAAAGGCUCACCAAGGCGACGAUCUGUAGCGGGUCUGAGAGGAUGAUCCGCCACACUGGGACUGAGACACGGCCCAGACUCCUACGGGAGGCAGCAGUGGGGAAUUUUGGACAAUGGGCGCAAGCCUGAUCCAGCCAUGCCGCGUGUAGGAUGAAGGCCCUCGGGUUGUAAACUGCUUUUGUACGGAACGAAAAGGUCUCUCUUAAUACGGGGGACCCAUGACGGUACCGUAAGAAUAAGCACCGGCUAACUACGUGCCAGCAGCCGCGGUAA